UACGUAGGGUGCAAGCGUUGUCCGGAUUUAUUGGGCGUAAAGCGUUCCGCAGGCGCAUUUGUAAGUCAUGUUUCAAAUCUCGGGGCUCAACCUCGAAAAGGGACAUGAUACUGCAGAUGUAGAAUAAUAUAGGGGCUACUGGAACUUUGCAUGUAGGAGUGAAAUCCGUUGAUAUGCAAAGGAACACCGAGGGCGUAGGCAGGUAGCUGGAUAUUUAUUGACGCUCAGGGACGACAGCUAGGGUAGCGAAAGGG
rnacentral:misc_RNA from 1 species